rnacentral:rRNA from 1 species
ACGGAUAUCUCGGCUCACGCAUCGAUGAAGAACGUAGCAAAAUGCGAUACUUGGUGUGAAUUGCAGAAUCCCGUGAACCAUCGAGUUUUUGAACGCAAGUUGCGCCCGAAGCCUUUUGGCCAAGGGCACGUCUGCCUGGGCGUCACACAUCKCGUCGCCCCCAU